UCAAAGAGCUUGCAAGAGCCAUUGUGCACCUAAAUGUAACUCUUGACAUAAUAUAGAUAUAGUAUAGAACCGGGACGCCCCUCCCUACACGCAGAUCACAGACUGGGUGGGGUCUCACGCCCUCACCUCGUGGAUGGGACCUCAACUGAGCCGCAAAUGCGAUGCGGUGAUAAAAAGGAAAUCAAAUGUAAAAAGUUGAAUUAAAAUAUUAAAACAGCAACACAACAUUAUUCCCACAUUAAAAGACAGUCUGAAGAGGUGUGUUUUGAAGGUGGGGGGGUCGGUGCAGUCUCUGAUGUUUAAUGGGAGUGAGUUCCAGAGGGAGGGGGCAGCGAUGGAGAAAGCGCUGUCCCCCCAGGUUCGGUGCUUGGUUUGUGGGGGGAUAGACAGGAGGUUGGCUUCUGAUGAGUUAAUUGAAAGACCGUUCUUUAAUACUAUUAUAAUAUUUAGGUAGCUGAAAAAUAUCCACUCUUUUUGACUUAACCUAGCUGUCCUACAUUUUAUUUCUCCACAGAUGUACUGUCCAUUCUGUGGUUCCAGCGUGACAUCUUCGCAUGGCUUUUGUGGUGUCUGUGGCAGAGACAUCACAUUUCUAAAAGAUGUGGCUAACAAAGUCCCUGAGGAGAUGCCCACCACUAGUGCGCAUCUAAGUGCACAGCCUAGCACCAGUGCAGCAGGAAGCUCAGCUGUAGAGUCCUUUCAGAAAUAUAGGGAAAUAAAAAAGAGGGAGAGACCUUUUUUACAAAGGGACGGCAUAACUCCAAAAAUAAACAGAAAUUGGUGAAGAUUUCUGUUGGAGUAAUGAGGAGGAUGGAUGGCUGCCUUAAACCUUUGAGAGGGAGGUCACUUCCCCUUAAUGUCGAACCUCAAUGGGCAUGUGAAGAACUGUUGGCUGCUGCCAUAAAAAAGCAGAAAGCCUUUAACCAGGACUUGGAAGAUGGUGCCCAUGUCUUGUUGUACCCUGAUGCGAGGGUGAUAACAAAUAUCCCCGGAACGGACACCCCUUUCACAGUACAGAUGUACAAAGAGGCCAUUGGAAAGCCCUACCAACGAAUUACGUUGUACAUCUGUACUCUUGAAGCCGUUGAAAACAGUUGUUACACUGGAACAACCUCUUCAAGUGACGAGGACAGUGUGGUUUUUGCAAAGUUGCCAUCUGGAGACAGUCUUGCUGACACCGUGGUCAGUUUGGAUCUAUCGUGGCAUUUAUUCUUAAUUAAAGUGAAUUUAUUUUAUUUCAGUCAGUCAUUUGUGUGUUGUAUGCAGGUGUGGGACUUUCCAAAUGAACAGAGCACUCCCAGAAUGGACAACAGUUUGCCAGGGUCAAAUAAAACAUUGUCAACAUGUUAUUUUGUGCCACAAGAAGCAGAAUGUUUUAACAGUACAGUAGUUUGAAUAUAUUUUUUGUUUACCUUUAUCAGACCUCUCAGGCACCCACAACCAGCGUCUGAUCGGGUAAGACUAAUUACAAAUGUAAUUAUACCAUGUAGGUUUGAAUUUGUGAACAUGAAAUCAAUAAAUACCUUUGUGUGCUAAUGACACUGUCAUUAGAUCAACUGCAUCAUUAUUUAUUGGGUAAAAGUAGGAUGGAGAACCAACCCCAUUCCAGGAAGAGGUCCAGUCUGCCCCGGGUCAGAACACCUUCUAUAGGUAAACGAUGUUGACAGUUGCAUCGUGACACAGUUGUUUGCAACUACACAACUGUGUAUGCACUUAUCAUUAUUGACAGCCAGUCUGAGCCAGAAGAGGAAACGGAGCAAACUGCAGAGGAAAUGUAUUAAAUGUUACUUUUAUCACUUGAUUUUUUUAUUCUAUACUGUAAAUCUUAUUAUAGCUUCAUCAUUUAAUAUUACAAUACAUCACUUUGUCUUUCCCAGCACAGAAUACCUGACUGCGCCAGACAUUGUUGCAGAACUCUCUGCAAAAAUUUAAAAUACCUCUUGCAGCAGGUUCAAUAUUAAUAGAGCCAAUGUGUGGGAUGGAGCAAUCCGCGGCUUCAAAGGGGCCUCAUUCGACCCCUCUCAUCAGAUGCAGGUUAAGUUUACUGAUGAUGAGGGACAAACUGAGGAUGGAGUGGACACUGGUGGUCCCAAGCGGGAGUUCCUGACCCUCCUUAUGGAAUGCCUGAGAAUGAGAAGAAUAUUUGAUGGUCCACAGGACAGGAAAUUCCUCAAGUUCGACAAUGCAGCUGCAAAAGAUGACGAAUACUUUCAUGCUGGGAGGAUGAUUGCAACUUCUAUAGUUCAAAAACACAAGGAGAAAAAGAAGAAAACAUGUCAUGGCUCACUGUCUCAAAAUCUGAUUCUAAAUGUAUAAUGUUCUUUAUAAAGAUAUAACUAAUACACAAUUAUGAAUGUAUAAUAUAAGCUGUUUUGUGUAUUUAAUCAUGCGUUGGUCUA